CGGCACGGGUGAGUAACACGUGAAUAAUCUACCUCCGAGUGGGGAAUAACCAAGAGAAAUCUUGGCUAAUACCGCAUAACACUUACGAGUCAAAGCAGCAAUGCGCUUGGAGAGGAGUUCGCGGCAGAUUAGUUAGUUGGCGGGGUAAUGGCCCACCAAGACGAUGAUCUGUAUCCGGCCUGAGAGGGCGCACGGACACACUGGAACUGAAACACGGUCCAG
rnacentral:rRNA from 1 species